GACUGUAUAAAGCUGUAAAUAUGGUUAUAAUAAACUGCAUGUUUCUGUGUGUGUGUUUUUUCUGCAGUCUGAGGUGGAGAGAGCACGUUUCUGUGGAGACUUGUUGAGGACUGUAAACACUGAUACAGCAUACAAAGCUCAGCUCAGAGUUUUCAUCAGUAAAGAAUUAAGUGUGUCUGGUUGCUAUGGCUCCUUCCUUGCCGACCCAAACUCCCGCUGUGUUGCCAUGGCAGCACUUGAUUGGCGCACAGCCCUGGCAUUUGAGUUCACACACAGUAAAUCCCUUGAUGAAAUGAGAGGCGUGGCCAUACAGGUGAGAACCAGAGAGACAUGACCAUAUGAACAUAAAGGAAUCUUUCAGUAUUAAAGCAAAGAUUUGUCUAAAGAGUGUUAAUUAAAUGACUCUAAUUUAAGUGUUAAGUUGUUGAGUUAUGUUGUGAUUUAACGUAUAAUAAUCUGAUAAUGGAAAGACAG
rnacentral:lncRNA from 1 species